GGGGCUCUCUCAGGGAAUAAGACCAACUAGACCUCAUCUUCACUGAAUUUAUCGUCCAGCAAGUAAUAAACAUAAAGAGUGGUGAGUGAGAAGAACACAGUGUGACAGGAGCACAUUGCAGGACAAUUGAACAUAUUUUAGGAGUUGGGGAAGAUUGGCACCAGAGGAUGGGUAAGACACAAAUAAAGAGGGUAGAAAAGUGAUUCAGACAACAGGAGGCUGGUGAAGGGCCAAGGAAUAAGAAAGGACUUAUAAAUUCUAGCAUCUAAAAAAGUCCAAGAAGCUGGAAUGUAAAAUAUGGAGAAGGAAAAGAUAAGGAGUCAGGUUGUAGGAAUAGCCAAGGGCUAGAUCUUGUGUAGCAUAGCCAGGAAUUUGGACUUUGCCCUUUUAAGCUGGGGCAUAACAUGUCCCACCUUCUGUUCCCUAACCUUUUACCUAUAAUUUCCUAUAUUUACCUAUAAAUUGCUUAAAAUAUUUUACCUAUAAAUUGCUUAAAAUACUUGCUAAAUAUAUGUUACAUAUUAUUAGAUGUCUAUCAAAGAAUGCAAAGCAAUGGAAAAAAACUGAGACAGUAUUGACAUCAGGGGAAAAAAAUUGUAGAUGAUGAUGUCAUGAGUAUGCUAGAUGGCUCGGCUAUGAGCCAUGGUAAACACUAAAAAGGAUUUAAUUAAAUAUGCUAUAUUUGAAAGAUUUGUAGACAGUCAAUAGAUAGUAUCUAAAAUUAAAAACUCAAAUAUUUGUAGAAACACAUUACUGAGAAAUAAAAAAUACAUAUUCGAACAAAAAUUGAAAGAUGUGCAGUUACUUCUGAGUCAAUGAGCAAAGGGAGAUGGAAUGGAGUAAGCUGAGGCUGGGGAUUGUUUUUGAUUAUAAUUUUUGUAUAUGUAUUAUUUUGUUAUUUUUACUAUUGAAUAUGUGGGGUUUUGACAGAAGCAUAAAUUGAAUGUGUGUGCAUGCAUGGACUCACACACCCACACACCCUGCAAAUCUAAACUUAGAAAGGAACAGUGGGAGGCAGCCAUGGCACCCCCUACUGGCCUUCUCAUGGAUGGUCUAUUGAUGGGUCUCACUACCCUGUCCAGACCUGCCCCCAUUGCUGAACCAGUCAUGUCUCCACAGGAAAACAGCAGCCUCUGACCUUCCAUUUCUUAGAGGUUUCAUGAACUGGACUGCCAAGCAACAUUUGGAUUUUCAGUACUAGGGACAACUCAUAGGUACCUGCUUAGAUUCUGAGUUGGCUCCAUCUAAUGAGAUCCUGAGGACACAUCAGGGCCCAAGAGGAGCUGAUUCACUGGAAGUUCAGGGCACUCUGGUUUUUCCAAGCAGGCUAGGACAGCAUGGAAGUUUAAACUCUCAGUACAGUGAAGCAUGAGCCAGAGAUGGAGUGCCUACUCUCUUUGAUUUGAGUGAAACAUUUACUUAUGAGAAGUAGAUUCAGCAUCUGAGUCACCAGACACUGAAAUAUUACAGCAAAGAUCUUUACGUGUUUCCUACCUCAUCACUACAUACCCACUCAUCUGAGAUGUGUGAUGCUUGACACGGACAGAACUCAAACUGUCUUUUACUACCUAUGAAGGAAGAAAUGAUGAUAGAUCAUAAUUGAAACAACCUACUGAGGAGAGGAAGCUGUUUUCAAGCACCUUCAAGAACUUUAAAAGGGCUCGUUUUAUCAACAAUGUUAAUUAAAAAUCAUUCUUAUUAAAGCAAUUCCUCUAAUUUUCUCUACCAGAUAAAAUUGUAUUAGGCCACUUUCAGUGACAAGAUAUGCUUGACAGAAGAAAAAAGUGUUAAAAUGUUUUACGAAUGAGAUUUUAACUCUUCAGAAUAAGUUUUACAUGCAUUGAUUUUUUUUUUAAGUAAAGUGUUACAUAUUCUAACACAAUUUCACCCCACCCACCCCCUUAAAGUCAAUGAGGAUAUUUAUCUCCUCUCAAUAUAAGGUUGUUUUGUUUUGUUGUUUUGGGGGUUGGGUUUUUUUGUAAAAACUUUUGGAUAUUUUUCCAAAACUAAUGCCAAACAUUUCUUCAUUAUAUCCUAAAAGAAUCACUUUCAUCAAAGUAAAUGUUCAUGAUAAAUGUUAUUAAGUAUAACCAGAAUAAUAACUAAAAAUAGCUCAAAUUGUCUAGCUACAUUUUGUCAACAAUCUUGCUCUAGCCAAGUUCCCCAUUCAUUGCACAAUCUAUAUUUUGGGAAGGACAGAACAUAAUUGCUUCCAAACAAAAUUUCAAGCCUGUGUACAUUUCCUUCCCACCAUCAGUUUCAGUUAAAUGAAUUAAUCUUUGAAAAGGGGGAAAUGCAGAAAGCAGGACUUCUCCCAAAAACACAUUUAAUGUGUAUUUUAUCAAGGGCUUUAAUUAUAAAGUUGUAAUGGGUGAUUUUUGUUAUAAUCAUCACUGGAGAGAUUUCAGUGUUUUAGAGCAGAGAUCCCCAACUCCUGGGCCACAGACCAGUACCAGUCUAUGGCCUGUUAGGAACUGGGCUGCACAGCAGGAGGUGAGCAGCAGGUGAUCAAGUGAAGCUUCAUCUGUAUUUACAGUUGCUCCUCAUCGCUUGCAUUACUGCCUGAGCUUUGUCUCCUGUUAGAUCAGCAACGGCAAUGAGUGGCAGCAUUAGAUUCUCACGGGAGCACAUACCCCAUUGUGAACUGCCCACAUGCAAGGGAUCUAGGUUGCACACUCCUUAUGAGAAUCUAAUGCCUGAUGAUCUGUCACUGACUCCCAUUACCCCCACAUGGGGCCAUCUAGUUGCAGGAAAAUGAGCUCAGGGCUCCCACUGAUUCUACAUUAUGGUGAGUUGUAUAGUUAUUUCAUUAAAUGUAAUAAUAAUAGAAAUAAAGUACACCAUAAAUGUAUUGUGCUUCAAUCAUCCCAGAACCAUCCCCUGCUCUCCUGGUCUGUGGAAAAAUUGUCUUCCACUAAACCAGUCCCUAGUUCCACAAAGGUUGGGGUUUGCUGUUUUACGAUGUUACUUUCAUCUUUCGCCUUAGCAUACCUUGUUCAGACAAGCAGCAAACAGCAAAUGCUAACCUGAUGAAAAGAUACUUAAUCGUACUAAGGCAUAAAAGCAAACCCAAAAAAUAUUUCUAAUAUACUUGAGGCAAUGCUACAUAAAAAUUUUUGUUAGCUUAUUCAAUUGCCUCUUCUAAAGUACAAGUAUGUGAAUUACUCAGCUAGGACACAAGGCACAUUUUUUCUGAGUUGGCAAAUCUUAUUUUAUGGACUAUUCUAGUACCCUUUUAAAAUUCAUCAAAUUUUAACAUUCAAAGCAUAGUAUAUGGAUAUUUAGGGAAUAUGAACAAGUAUAAAAUACAGUUCUUACUCUCAAUCUGAUUACAUCCUAUCAUGGAAAAUA
rnacentral:lncRNA from 10 species